rnacentral:rRNA from 1 species
AUACGGAGGGUGCAAGCGUUGUUCGGAAUCACUGGGCGUAAAGGGCGCGCAGGCGGUUUGGUAAGUCAGAUGUGAAAGCCCACGGCUCAACCGUGGAAGUGCAUUUGAAACUGUCAGACUUGAGUACUAGAGGGGAAAGUGGAAUUCCCGGUGUAGAGGUGAAAUUCGUAGAUAUCGGGAGGAAUACCGGUGGCGAAGGCGACUUUCUGGCUAGAUACUGACGCUGAGGCGCGAAAGCGUGGGGAGCAAACAGAAUUAGAAACCCCAGUAGUCC